GAUGAUAAAUAUAUGUACUGUUAAAUUUAAUCAACAAAAACAAAGUGAUAACACAAAGUGGGAUUGAAGUAUGGUAGAAUCCAAAUUAUUAGUCAUCUAUGAUUCACCGAUAAUCUAAUUCAAAGUCGGUUAUUUCUUCAAUGAUCCAACUUCAAUUCAUAACUUCUGCUGACUUAACGAAGAAAAAAAAAAAGCUCUGCCUUUUCUCUUCAAAACAGAGCCACAGCCCCACCCCCAUGUUUUUGCUGCUCUUAUAAGGUCGCCGGUGAGCAUUCUUCGAAGGUUCCAAGCUUGGUUAGACCCUGUUUUCUCCUAAGACUAAUCCAUACGCUUCGAAUUUUCGAAGUAUAGUUAGGGUUAGGGUUUCAAUUGGGGGAUUCUUCUUCGGCCUCUUCAGGCGACUUGUUUCAAGGUUCAAAGGUGCACUAGUUCAGCGCCUUCUUUUAGCCACCAGUUACCUCUUUUGUCCCAUCGGUGAAGAUGAAGCGGAGUACAGGUUUCCUUCAUUGCCGGCUUUCUCAUCUUCUUGGUAUGGUCAGCAUUUUUGUGUAAUUAAGGGAAAGCCUAGUGGUUUAGUUUUAGCUUUGUCUUUGGUGUUUUAAUCUGAUUUGUUUAAAGUUUUUAUGGCUGGCGUUGAGGAACUAAGCGGAGUACAUGUUGAAGAGCAUGAUGUCUCUUCUCAUGGGUUGGAGUUUAUAGUUGGGCAGUUGGAGAAUCCUUUUGGUAUUCUCAAUUUUGUUUAGAGUUUAAAAGAUGAGGAAAACAUGUUCUACAAGCAGAAUCAAAUGGGGUUUGCUAUUGCAAAAUACUCUCUUGCUCUUAAGAUGUUGUCAUUUGCUUCAGUUUGUAGUGAUGAGGAUAAAUUGAUGUUUUCGGGCAUAGCUGUGUCCCUUAAUCUCAACUUGGGUGCUUGUUUCAUCAAGGUGAAAGACUAUGAUAGAGUGGGUCAAUUAUGUUCAGCAGUUUUAUGUUUUGAUACUACUAAUGUGAAAGCUUACUUCAAAAGUGCGAUUGCAGCGUUAGAGCUCAAUAAAACUACCUUAGCUUUCAUGGAUCUUGCACAAGCCCUUAAAAUAGAUCCCAACAACAGUGAGUUCCAACAAAAACUAGAAGCUGAUAUCCUUAUUGGGUUGGUCUCCGGAUUUCGUUGAUGAGGCACUUGCAGUAACAAGGGAGGAUGAGAAGUUUAGAGAUUAUGUUCAUUGUGGGAAGGAAGAUAAUGGUAGGAAGUUAGGAAAAAAAAAAGGGAAAAGAAAGGAAGGAGAUGGUCGUGGUGAUAGUCAUGUUCGAAGGUAUAUAGAUAUGAAAGAGUGAAAGACGACACCAAAAUGGAAAAGAAUGUUGAUGGCAAUUCUUUGGAUUUGGAGGGUAAAGUCAACCCUACCGACCAAGAUCUUAGGCCCAACGUUAUUGAUAACAAUUGUGUCCUGAAGGGAGCUUUAGAAACAAAAAACCCAAAUUUGACAGGAUCAAGUUUUCGAUUCUCAAACCGGAAGCCUAAGGCAUAUACCUGGAGACCAAGACAACAAAUCACAAGGCUCCAAGAAGCAUCCGGACAGCAGCAGCAAGAAGAAGAGAGUUCAGAGAAGUCGAAAGCAGACCAAGCAUAGGAAGGAGGGGUACUUUUGAAGCACAACCAAUUUCGGCAAAGAAACAAAGUCACAGGACUUUCACCUUUUGGGAAUAUGACUUCAGUUUUAUGUUUCCCCAGCUUUUGUGUUAUCUAAUUUUAGCAUUAGAGGAAAUCAGAUUGUAAUAUAUUGUAAGGGUGGUAAUUGUAGGAGGCAUCCAGACACUUGAGUGUAAACACAUUGGAUAGUUGUAGCCUCAAGCUACUCGUGAGAUUGAUAGCCUCAAGCUAUUACUUUUGAUUACAAUCAGUCAUCCUCAUUUAUUAUUCUA